rnacentral:rRNA from 1 species
AACGAACGCUGGCGGCAGGCCUAACACAUGCAAGUCGAGCGAGGACUUCGGUUCUAGCGGCGGACGGGUGAGUAACGCGUGGGAAUGUGCCCUUCUCUACGGAAUAGCCCUGGGAAACUGGGAGUAAUACCGUAUACGCCCUAUUGGGGAAAGAUUUAUCGGAGAAGGAUCAGCCCGCGUUGGAUUAGGUAGUUGGUGGGGUAAUGGCCUACCAAGCCGACGAUCCAUAGCUGGUUUGAGAGGAUGGUCAGCCACACUGGGACUGACACACGGCCCAAACACUGGAGGGGGGGCGCAGGGGGGAUCCUGAGACACGGGGGGAAUCACGAAGCCAUCCGGGCCGGAGGGGUGUUUAGGGCUGAAGGGUGGGAAGCCGCUUAAAACGGGGAAGUUCUGACGGUACCCAAAGAAAAAGCCCCGGCUAACUUCGUG